rnacentral:snoRNA from 1 species
UUGCAAGUAAUAAUGAUAGUGUGAAAUGAAUCAAAAAUUAUGAUUAAUCCAGUUCUGGACACCUAAGGGCCAUU